AAAAAAAAGGACCAAUUUUGUUGCAAUAAAAAGCAGCUUCUUCAUCCUCGAGCUUUGACGGUCAGGACAAUAAAGUCUACGCACAGCUCCAGGAGUCUUCCGGUCCGUUUGGUUGCCGAGAAAAUCGAGGAAAUUAAUGGAAAACUAUUUCGAAGCCUCUAGACUUCAAGCUAAAAUACUUAUCUUUGGUCUUUUGACUUUUCUUUGCCAUAUAUUUUUCUAGCUGCCAAACCGAGCCUCACACUUCUCAGGCCUACCGCGCUUUCUGCUUGAACCAAUCCAUCAAAAUGAGUAUUGAUGUAGUUCUGGUUUCAUGCUCCUAGUAAGCUGCUAUGCAAAAGGGUUUUAGAAAUAGCUUUCAAACCUUUGGGUCACCUGGAGCCUUUGCUACCUAUAGUUCUGGUAUCAGAUUGUACAGUUUUUUACAUCAAACUCAUCUCUACAGAAUCAACUUCUUUUGGAUUGUGGCUUUUUGAUUCGGUUCUUUGUCAUACCCCAGAUAAUGUUUGUGUGGAAAGCUUUAGAAGAAAUUUUAUUUGUUACUUUAGAUCAGUUAAAGCCGUUGGAACAGAUGUUCAAAUGAUUUGUAAGAGGAUUUUGGCAAAGGGGUGCACAGUGCAUAUUGGAAUCCAUCUUUGAAUUUGCUAUCAAAUGUACUUCUACACUAUGAGGCACUGCACGUGUGCUCCCUUUUGUUUUGCUGUUGUGAGUUAUAGUGUUUGGCAAGUUUAGGUAAAUUUCUUCACUCUGAACUUUGAGGUUGCACGUACAGUUGCCAACCCACUAAAUAUCUUGACUUAUAAAGCUAAAAUAAAAACAAGGGGAUCCCAAGAAUCAAACUUGGGACCUCCUGCACCCAAGGCAAGAAUCAUACCACUAGAUCAAAUGCCCUCCGGUUGUUGCUUGCAAAACUUAAAUAAAUAUCCCUUUCCUUCUCCAAGCAUUCGAGUUGCAUUCUUAGUAAACAUCUCUAGAAGACCAAUAUUUUUCCAGUCCUGGCUUGUAAUGCAUUUUGAUGUGAUAUCCCUGUUAAGGUAGAAAUCCCUUGGAAGAAUUUGCAUUUGGUACUUUGAAUCUUAUGAAAUGUUGGAACAUAUUGGAUAUCAUCUUUGGAUUUUCUGUGCAGAUUUACUUAGUGGCAUGAAACGAUGCUCAUAUUUUGCCUUCUAAUUUUAUUAACAUGAACGUGCAUGUUUGGCAUGUUGAGGCAGAUACAUGUAAUCUGACGUCUUUUAAGGGUUACCGGUAUGGUUAUAGGUUUCCCACACAACCUUGAAAUCAAGAUCUGCUACUUGUUUAUUUUUUUUCCAUAUAUUGGUUGAGAAUUUUGUCAGAAAACCUGUAUGCAGUAUCUGAAUUCAUCAAAAUUUUAUUUGUAGCUUUUUAGUCAACUUUAGGCCAUAUUGCUGACUUCCUAGAAAAGUAAUAUAUUCAUCAAAAUUUUGUUUUGUAUAUUGUUAGUCAACUUUGGGCCAUAUUUACUUAUGGCAUAGAUAAGUAAAAUAGUGUUAUAACUAAUGUGUGGGAGCAAGCAAAAUUUUUUAAACUAUAAAAAUA